AUUUCACAUAAUUUAGCAGCAGUUGAUGCCAUUUUCUUUGACCUUUCUCCAGUUCCUGUUGACUUUUCCCGUAUGAAAGAUGCGCACAAGUAGAAAGCUCUUAAAGACUCCUUAAGAUGUCAACAGCACAAUCAACCAAAGCAAAAAAGACAGCAAAGAAACAAUAAACAAAGUGAACAGACAACUGGCAGAAUGAGACAAAAUAUUUACAAAUUAUUCAACUGACUUAGGAUUAAUAACCAGAAUAUACAAGUUACUCAAACAAUUUAGCAAAAACAACCCCCAAAUAACCUGAUUAAAAAUGGGCAAGGGAUCUAAAUAAACAUUUCUCAAAAGAAGACAUAUAAAUGGCCAACAGGUAUGAAAAAAUGUGCAGCAUCACUAAUCAUCAGGGAAAUGCAAAUCAAAACAACAAUGAGAUUUCAUCUCAGUCCUUUUAAAACAGCUUUUAUAAAAAGACAAUAAUUGAUGUGGGUGACAAUGUGGAGAAAGAGGAAUUCUUAUAUAUUAUACAUUGUUGAUGGGAAUAUAAAUUAGUAGAGUUACUGUGGAAAAGAGUAUGAUGAUUCCUCAAAAAAUUAAAAUAGAGUUACCAUAUGAUUUAGAAAUCUUACAGUUGAGUAUAAAUCCAAAAGAAAGAAAAUCAAUGUAUCAAAGAAAUAGCUGCACUCCUAUGCUUAUUGAAGCACUACUCACAAUAGCCAAGAUAUAAAGUCAACCUAUCAACUGAUGAAUGGAUAAUGGAAAUGUGGUAAAUAUAUGCAAUGGAAUAUAAUUCAGCCAUAAAAAGAAUGAAAUCCUGUCAUUUGCUACAACAUGAAUGGAACCGGGAUGAAAUAGGCCAGGCACAGAAACAAACAUAUCUUACAUCCUCACUCAUAUGUGGGAACUAAAAAACAAAAACAAAAACAAAAACCUAAUGGAGUUAGAGAGUAGGAUAACAAUUACCAGAGGCUGGAAAGGGCAAUGGGAAAGGGAGCAUAAAGAGGGGCUUGUUAGUGGGUACAAAAAUACAAUUAGAAAGAAUAAGAUCUCGUGUUUGGUACCACAAAAGGUGACUAUAAUUCACAAUAAUUUGAUAUAUUUUCCAAAAUAAAUAGAGGAGUGAAUCUGCAAAGUUCCCAACACAAAAAAUGAUAAAUGUUUGAUAUGAUGAAUAUUCCAAAUACCUU
rnacentral:lncRNA from 1 species